UCCCUUUUGCCACGCAUCUCACCCUUAUCUUUUGAUUCUCUUUCAAAUCGGAGUUUAUUCGAUCGGGCGUCACCCAGGUUAGUUUAGACGAUUUGGUUAUCUUUAUGUGUUUCAUGAAAUGCAUUUUGAACUGUUUACUAAUUUGAGUUUUGUUUGUUGUGAUAAGUAUUCAUGUUACCUGAUAUGUUUUAAUUGUGUGAUUAUGUGGUCUUUUAAGUUUUUUUGAUUAUAUAUGAUGUCUUAUGAUAGUUGGAUAAUUGAUAUAGUGUUUCUUUUAAGUGAUAUAGGGUUUGUUUGAAUUUGGUAUUGUUGCUUCGGAUUACAAGAAGCAUAAACACUAGAAAAAGCCUUAGGGUAAAGAAAGAUAUCGCUGUAGUCAGAACCUUCUUUUUGGUUCAUAAAGGAACAUUUUUACCAUGUGGCUGAAUAGCUGAUCUACCCUUUCUUGUUAAGAACAUUUAUCAUUGUAGAACUGCUAAUUAGAUUGUAUAUGAUGUAGUCUGUAAUUAUUUUGUGUUUGUUAUUACCUGUGGAUCCUGUUCAUUUUAUUUGUGUUUGUUAUCACUUGCGGAUCCUGUUCAUUUUUGUGCUUGUUUUCUCUUUUUCUGUUUACAAGCGUUGUAAGACUACGUGCAGUUUGCAUGUUACCAAGAUUUUUUUCUUUUUCUUUAAUUUGUCUUUUGCUAAUGUAGAAAUGGAUAUGAGAAGGAGAGUGACUAGAAACCAGAAUGAUGAAGAUGCGUCUAAAAGCAAGACUAUCAAGACUGAUGAUGUGGGAUUUUGGUCAUACCUCAAUCAUGACAUGCUUUUAUUAUUUAUGAUGCAACUGGGGGUCAU
rnacentral:lncRNA from 1 species